UACAGAGGGUGCGAGCGUUAAUCGGAAUUACUGGGCGUAAAGCGUGCGUAGACGGUUAUUUAAGUCGGGUGUGAAAGCCCCGGGCUCAACCUGGGAAUUGCAUUCGAGACUGAAUAGCUAGGGUACGGUAGAGGGAAGUGGAAUUUCCGGUGUAGCGGUGAAAUGCGCAGAUAUCAGGAGGAACACCGAUUGCGAAGGCAGCUCGCUGGGACGUAACUGACGCUGAGACGCGAAAGCGUGGGGAGCAAACUGG
rnacentral:rRNA from 1 species